CAGCAGGAACACGGAGCUCCGCCCAACCAAACCCUACUCCAGAAGUUUCCGCUGCUCCGCUAAAACCCUAAACCCUGUCCCCAUUUAUAGCGUCUCAACUUUGCUCGUCAAGUCGCUCUCUUUCUCCUCCCAGUCACCGUCGCCAAGGUUCGCAAGCUGUGGCAAAGAUGCUCGGCGCUUCGAAGCGAUCGAUAGUACAUGCGGCGCGGUCCGCCGGCUCUCGCUACCGCGCAGUGGCGUCUCGUCUCUCCGCCUCGUCUCCUUCGGUAACUGAGAAUGAAUACCGAACUCCAGAGGUUGCACCACACAGGUUUCUUUCAACACUAUGCGCACCUAAAAGUAAUGGGACCAACUUUGGGAUGCACUCGAGCUUGAGGCACAGCAUGCUUGUUUGCAAUCGUCUUGAAUCAACUGCAGCAGCAUCUGAUUCACCCGAACCAUCAAGUGAGAAAUUUGAGUAUCAAGCUGAGGUUAGUCGCUUAAUGGAUCUCAUAGUACACAGCCUAUACAGUAAUAAGGAAGUGUUCCUGCGGGAACUUGUCAGCAAUGCAAGUGAUGCACUUGACAAGUUACGUUUUCUGAGUGUCACGGAACCUGAACUUUUGAAGGAUGCUGUUGAUCUCGACAUUCGUAUUCAAAGUGAUAAAGAUAAUGGAAUUAUUACAAUCACUGAUACUGGAAUUGGUAUGACUAGACAAGAGCUCGUAGAUUGUCUUGGUACUAUAGCACAAAGUGGAACUGCCAAAUUUUUGAAGGCUUUGAAGGAUAGCAAGGAUGCUGGCGUCGAUAGUAAUUUAAUUGGCCAAUUUGGUGUAGGCUUUUAUUCGGCAUUCCUUGUGUCAGACAAGGUGGUUGUUUCAACAAAAAAUCCAAAGUCUGAAAAGCAGUAUGUAUGGGAGGGAGAAGCUAAUGCCAACUCUUAUACAAUUAGGGAAGAAACUGACCCAGAGAAGUUACUUCCUAGAGGAACACGUCUGACGUUGUAUCUUAAGCGUGACGACAAAAGUUUUGCUCAUCCCGAGCGGAUUCAGAAUCUUGUGAAGAACUAUUCUCAGUUUGUUUCUUUCCCAAUCUACACAUGGCAAGAGAAGGGUUUUACUAAAGAGGUUGAGAUAGAUGAGCCUCCAACUGACUCCAAAAAGGAAGGUGAUGAAGAUCCAGAUGUAGAGAAGAAGAAGAAAACUAAGAAGGUCAUUGAAAGAUAUUGGGAUUGGGAUCUCACUAAUGAAACCCAACCUAUAUGGCUAAGAAAUCCUAAAGAAGUGACUACUGAAGAGUACAAUGCAUUUUACAAGACGACUUUUGAUGAAUAUGCUGAUCCGUUAGCUUCUUCACACUUCACAACUGAGGGUGAAGUGGAAUUUCGGUCCAUUCUUUUUGUGCCCUCUUUCAAGAAGGAUGAAAUUAUUAACUCAAAAACCAAGAAUAUUAGGUUAUAUGUUAAACGCGUCUUCAUAUCUGAUGACUUUGAUGGGGAAUUGUUCCCAAAAUAUUUGAGCUUUGUGAAGGGUGUUGUUGAUUCAAAUGACCUUCCCUUGAAUGUGUCGCGUGAAAUCCUUCAAGAGAGUCGUAUUGUGCGUAUCAUGAGAAAAAGAUUAGUUCGAAAAACCUUUGAUAUGAUACUUGGCAUCUCUCAGAGUGAAAACAAAGAAGAUUAUGAGAAAUUCUGGGAGAACUUUGGCAAAUACUUGAAGUUAGGUUGCAUUGAAGAUAAUGCGAACCACAAACGCAUUGCUCCACUUUUGCGAUUCUUUUCUUCACAUGCUGACAAUGAGCUUAUUAGCUUGGAUGAGUAUGUUGAGAGUAUGAAACCUGAACAAAAGAAUAUCUACUAUAUUGCUGCGGACAACUUGACUAGUGCUAGGAAUACGCCUUUCUUGGAGAGGCUUGUUGAGAAGGAUUAUGAGGUGCUAUUUUUAGUUGAUCCUAUGGAUGAGAUAGCUAUCCAGAAUCUGAAAUCUUACAAGGAAAAGAAUUUUGUUGACAUAAGCAAGGAAGACCUAGAUCUAGGCGAUAAGGAUGAAGAGAAGGAGAAGGUAAUCAAUCAGGAAUUCGGCCACAUGUGUGAUUGGAUUAAGAAGAGGUUGGGCGAUAAGGUUGCUAAUGUUCAGAUUUCCAGCCGUCUUAGCACCUCCCCUUGCGUUCUGGUGUCAGGGAAAUUCGGAUGGUCUGCCAACAUGGAAAGGUUGAUGAAGGCACAAACACUUGGCGAUACAACUAGCUUGGAUUUCAUGAGAGGAAGGAGAGUGUUUGAAAUCAAUCCAGGGCAUUCCAUAAUUAAAGAUUUGAAUAUAGCUUGCAGAAGCAACCCUGACGAUCCUGAGGCUCAGAAGGCCAUAGACCUGUUGUAUGACACAGCUCUAAUUUCCAGUGGCUUCACUCCCGAAAACCCCUCGGAAUUAAGUAGCAAGAUAUACGCGAUGAUGGGAACUGCUCUCACUGCCAAAUGGACAGCCGCUCCUGCUAACGUGCAGCAUGAAACAUCAAGCCACUCUUCUUCACAACAAAACGCACAAACACCUGAAGCUGAAAUUGUUCAACCAUUCGAAGCUGCCGGCCAAAAAUAAGUCUUUGCAUAAUUUUAUUCUUUAUCGGAAUUACACUCCCCCUCUCUUUCAGCUUUGAGCUGCAUUCUAUGUAGGACAGUUUAGUUAUGAGUUCCUGAGCUUAUAGUCCUACCUCUAUUCGAGUCGUUUACUUACUAAUUUCGAUGAUAAUAACAUAUGAAUUAUUGGUAAGCCCUUUUAAUAUGGUAUUAAUUUAUUUUGUUUUAUUAUGAGAAGUUAAACAUGUUUCCUUUAUUAAAAAUUUGGACAAAUGAACUAGUUCUGUAUCUUAUCGCUUCAAACGUUUCCAAAAUGAAACGAAAAGAGUUUAAAUUUUUGAAGUAUUUUGAUGAUUAUAAAAUUCACUCGGGGGCAAAAUUGUGAUGCUCCGCGGAUAUUUUUUAAGCGAAGCGAUAAAAAUCGGCUUGUGCGGUAGACAAACGCGCCGUCUCUUGCUCUUCCUCUCAACGUGAAAGCGUGCACGGCAGUAGUGAACGGGCACUGGCGAUGGCUUCGGCCAUGCUGUAUCUUCCGCCGCUCGACCUCUCCGGCGGACCGUUUUCCCCGCGACCGCGACGGUCCACGAGCACCGGCAGAAUUAGCAGCGGGUUGCAUCCGAAGCCGUUUCCUGCAGGAUGCGUCGGAUCGGACGCGGCGCAGGUGGACCCUUCGGAUGCCGACGGCAAUUGCGGGGACGCUGCCCCUUGUACAGGAAAAUUUCUGUCAUCCUAUGGAAGAAGAAGGCUUACCUUGGCAUUGUCUCUUCCUUUCAUGUUUCCUCAGUACCAUAUUGCUAAAGCGAUUGACAUCAGAGAAGAAGCAUUGGUUAUUCAAAAUGGGGUGAGCAGUUUUAUGACCAAGGCAAAAGCUGCUGGAAUGCUACGUCUGGCUUUCCAUGAUGCAGGGACAUUUGAUUCAGGCGACAAUUCAGGUUACUACACAACAGUAAUCAUUUCUAUGACCAUCUAUUAGAUGAUGAAUGUCUACUGUGAAUCUAAAUGAAAAAAAACAAUGAUUUACCUUCUCUAAAUUAUGGUUUUUUGGAUAAUCUUUUUAAUUACUAUUAAUCAACUUCUAUUUGUGCUAUCUUGUACAGGUGGAAUGAAUGGUUCUAUAGUAUAUGAACUUGAGAGACCAGAAAACGUUGGUCUUAACAAAUCAGUCAAAGUAAUCUUUUUGCAACAAGAACUAUAUCAUCCAUUGUUAUUUGUGGAUACUUGUGCAUAUAAUUAUUUUAAACAAUUCAAACGCUGACAUGUUUAUAAUGCUUAGCCAUGAACAUUGAUACACAUAGGUAUAGACAGAUGCAUCAUUAUCCUUUAGUGUGAGAGUGCUUUAAAACUACUUAUUGAUUUUCAGAUCCUUGCUCCAAUUUGUCACGUCUUUGUAGGUAUUGACUAAAGCAAAGAUGGAGAUUGAAAAAACUCACCCAGUAUCAUGGGCGGAUCUAAUUGCUGUAGCUGGUGCUCAGGCGGUUUCUUUCUGUAGAGGACCAACUAUUCCUCUUCAAUUAGGUCGGAUAGAUGUAAGGACACCAGAUCCUGAAAGAAGGCUUCCUGAAGAAACUCUAGAUGCCUCUGGUCUAAAGGAGUGCUUUUUGAAGAAAGGCUUUUCGUGAGUUCUGCAUUUACAUGACAGGACACAAGAACUAGUUGCAUUAUCUGGAGCACAUACGAUUGGAGGCAAGGGAUUUGGCAGUCCUGUUAUUUUCGACAAUGCCUACUACAAAAUACUUCUAGAAAAACCAUGGGCAUCUUCAGCCGGUAUGUCAAGCAUGAUUGGGCUUCCAUCAGAUCGAGCAAUAGCAGAUGAUGACGAAUGCUUAAGGUGGAUAAAACUUUAUGCAGUUGAUCAGGAGAAGUUCUUUGGUGAUUUUAAGAAUGCUUAUAUCAAGCUUGUUAACUCUGGAGCUUCAUGGAAAACUGUGUAACUAAAGAAAUUUUCUCCCAUGGCAACAAAAGUCUAUCAGAAACAGAUGAAGACCACAAAACAAGAGUUUUGCUACUUCAUGUAGUUUAUCGUCCUUUUUAGCUUUGUUACAUUGACAACAAUCAUGUGGCAAAAGGUGAUUAGCUCGUCGUACCUCUGUCAAUCCAUCUCUAGGUCAAUACUGAAGAGGUAAAUCAGACUACUAGUUAUUAGUGCAAAUGAUAAGACAUGAGAGAAAAUAUGUUCGGUCACACCGAGUUUCGAUCCCAAAACUUUAUGUGGUAACAUUCCAUAUUUUAAUCAUCACACCGCCUUGAGAAGACUACAUUGGCAAC